AUUGAACGCUGGCGGCAUGCCUUACACAUGCAAGUCGAGCGGCAGCGCGGGGGCAACCCUGGCGGCGAGCGGCGAACGGGUGAGUAAUACAUCGGAACGUGCCCAGUAGUGGGGGAUAACCUCUCGAAAGAGAGGCUAAUACCGCAUACGACCUACGGGUGAAAGCGGGGGACCGCAAGGCCUCGCGCUAUUGGAGCGGCCGAUGUCGGAUUAGCUAGUUGGCGGGGUAAAAGCCCACCAAGGCGACGAUCCGUAGCUGGUCUGAGAGGACGACCAGCCACACUGGGAACCUGAGACACGGUCCGGACUCCUACGGGGCAGGCAGCAGUGGGGAAUUUUGGACAAUGGGCGCAAGCCUGAUCCAGCCAUGCCGCGUGAGUGAAGAAGGCCUCGGGUUGUAAAGCUCUUUCGGCGGGACGAAACGGUCCGUGCCAACACCACGGACUAAUGACGGUACCCGCAGAAGAAGCACCGGCUAACUACGUGCCAGCAGCCGCGGUAAUACGUAGGGUGCAGGCGUUAAUCGGAAUUACUGGGCGUAGAGCGUGCGUAGGCGGUUUGUUAAGACAGGUGUGAAAUCCCCGGGCUUAACCUGGGAACUGCGCUUGUUACUGGCAGACUUGAGUGUGGCAGAGGGGGGUGGAAUUCCAGGUGUAGCAGUGAAAUGCGUAGAUAUCUGGAGGAACACCGAUGGCGAAGGCANCCCCCUGGGGCCUAACACUGACGCUGAUGCACGAAAAGCGUGGGGGAGCAAA
rnacentral:rRNA from 1 species